CAUAAUUUAGUUGAAACAUAUGCAUGACAGUUAUCAGAAAGAUAAGCUAUGAGUGUAUAAAUUCUUGUAGUAUCUCUCAAUAUACAAGCAGCAGUACAGAGCUCUGCUUAUGAGGUUACAAACAUCUUUGUAUUCACCAAAAGAUGAUCAUGAUAUUUUUAUAGCAGCUCGAAGUGCUGCCCGGCGGAGCUCAACCGGCGCGCCUCCCCCAGCAGCAGUGCCUACACUAUUCUUGAUGCAGACAAGUAUGAUGACAGUGGAGAGGCAACAUGGAGCCAGCAAUUUGAUGAGCAUUUCAAGUUCGCACCCCACCUUUUCAUGUCUCUGCUACGCUUUCUUAUUCCCACGUCCACGUGGAGAAUGUGGUUACCAGGUAGAGGUCUCCUACAAAAGAAAACUGAGUCAAAAUGCAUGCUACUACUAAUACUGUUUUCAGUACAGAAAGAACAAGCCUAAUCUUGAGAAAAUGAGUUGUGCUGAACAAGCCUAAUCCGUGUACAAAGGAGCCAAAAAAACAUGUUAACAUUACCAUCACCCGUACAAGUAAUUAAUAUAAAACUUUAUCAUGGAAAUAUUCCUAAACCUUUUCUAGGAAUUUUGAUGAGAGCUACCAGUUGAAACUAAUAUGUGUUUCUUCAUGUGCCUUUGCUUUGAAACAUCUAGUUAGCUAAGUUCAAUAGUAUGAGCAUCAGCUUAAAAAAACAGUAUGAGAAUCAAUUAUACUUCUAGCCCUUUCGAACAUCGUCAUACCAAAGUAGAAAUAAUUCUCUUGUACAAUCCAUUUAAUCUAAUAUUUUUCUUGAGUCUGCAAGAUAAAGAAUAAUGAUAUUGGGUCAUAGCCUCAUAGGCAUCAUCUAUACGUCUGCCAAAUAUUAACAACGAAUGUGUUUAACCAAGGUUAUCGCUCUGACCUUCUUUUCUAGCGACUUCUCCCAAUUGAAGUUAUUGCCCCCUUUGAUUUCCCAAUAGAAAUUCUUUGAAUC
rnacentral:lncRNA from 1 species